UACGUAGGGUGCAAGCGUUAAUCGGAAUUACUGGGCGUAAAGCGUGCGCAGGCGGUUUUGUAAGUCAGAUGUGAAAUCCCCGGGCUUAACCUGGGAACUGCGUUUGAAACUACAAGGCUAGAGUGUGGCAGAGGGGGGUGGAAUUCCACGUGUAGCAGUGAAAUGCGUAGAGAUGUGGAGGAAGCACCGAUGGCGAAGGCAGCCCCCUGGGUUAACACUGACGCUCAGGCACGAAAGCGUGGGGAGCAAACAGG
rnacentral:rRNA from 1 species